rnacentral:rRNA from 1 species
GACGAACGCUGGCGGCGUGCUUAACACAUGCAAGUCGAACGGAAAGGCCCCUUUGGGGGUACUCGAGUGGCGCACGGGUGAGUAACACGUGAGUAACCUGCCCUUGACUUCGGGAUAACUUCAGGAAACUGGGGCUAAUACCGGAUAGGAAUCCUUGCUGCAUGGUGGGGGUUGGAAAGCUUCGGCGGUUUUGGAUGGACUCGCGGCUUAUCAGCUUGUUGGUGGGGUAGUGGCUUACCAAGGCUUUGACGGGUAGCCGGCCUGAGAGGGCGACCGGCCACAUUGGGACUGAGAUACGGCCCAGACGCCUACGGGAGGCAGAGGUGGGGAAUAUUGCACAAUGGGCGGAAGCCUGAUGCAGCAACGCCGCGUGCGGGAUGACGGCCUUCGGGUUGUAAACCGCUUUCAGCAGGGGCGAAGCUUGUGGUGACGGUACCUGCAGAAGAAGCACCGGCUAACUACGUG